rnacentral:rRNA from 1 species
GUAGSAUGCAAGCGUUGUCCGGAAUUAUUGGGCGUAAAGAGUUCGUAGGCGGUUAUCUAAGUCUGGUGUUAAAGCCCGAAGCUCAACUUCGGCAUGGCAUUGGAAACUGGGUAGCUAGAGUGUGGUAGAGGUCUCGGGAAUUCCUGGUGUAGCGGUGAAAUGCGUAGAUAUCAGGAGGAACACCGGCGGCGAAAGCGCGAGACUGGGCCAUAACUGACGCUGAGGAACGAAAGCCAGGGGAGCGAAAGGGAUUAGAUACCCCUGUAGUCCUGGCCGUAAACGAUGGAUACUAGGUGUUGGAGGAUUCGACCCCUUCAGUGCCGUAGCUAACGCGAUAAGUAUCCCGCCUGGGGAGUACGACCGCAAGGUUG